GCAAACUGAACCCAGGGGACUGCAACGGAGGCUGGCAGGACCUCCCCAGUACUGUGCCUGUGCCCAGCCUCUUGCUCUUGGCCAGAGGGCACAUGCCAGAAAAGAGGGUGCCGGACUUCUAAAACAUGCAAAAAGUGCUGGCUGAUGGAGCCCUGCGAGCAUUGAUCUGAACAGCUUGUGAACCAUUACUAUCUAGAAGUGUCAAGUAAGAUUAGAACAAACAUCAAGCAAAGAUGAAAUAAAUAGCUAUUGUAUGGGCAGAAAUGGAUUUUCAGUUUCCACAGUAAAUAAAAUAAUGUGCUGUCUUUGUCAGUGCCCCUGUGAUGAUACAGUUUGCAGGAUUUUUACUGGCAAGCUGCCAUACUUACUUUCAUUUAUCUGCCUCAAAGCACCAUUUCAAAAAGUGCAAAAGCAUGUUGUUGAUAGAGUAGAUUGUUUAUAGCUGAAUUGAGUAUUUCAGAACAACAUGCAUUGUAAUAAAGCGGGGGAGGGGACGAGGAAGCCAGCACAGCUGCAGCUUCUUGAAUCCUUUGUCAAAAAUCAAUGCCAGAAAGCAAAGCUGAGACGUAUUUAUUCUGUCUCAGUAAAUGCAAUACGCAACCCCCUCACCGCUCUGCUCCCUGACAAGUGCUAACAAAGACCCUGGAGUCUUGGAGGCCUGCGUUACCUCGCACCAACGGUGCUGGCAUCUCGGGAGGGUUGCCUGGUACUCCCCACAGGCUCCUUGAUGGCCAGCAGAUCCUGGAGGGCCCGCCACCCCUGAGCACCACCACGGUUCUGCUGCUGCUCCUAGAUGAUGCGCAGCACACGGUACAACAACUCCUUCAGUGAUCUAAGGGCAACCUUGGACUGCGGAGAGAGAGAGGAGGAGGGUAUUAAAAAUAACAGUAUAAAUAACAUGAAGGUGUUUUUAGAGCAAAGGAACACAGCUCUGGUGACCUGCUGCUGCCAGAGCCAGCCAGCUGAGAGGGACAUGGAUCUGGGUCAGCCCACCGCAGAAGUUAGCAUCUUGGUUAUCUGGAAUGCAGAUGCUGGGCAAAUUCAGAAGCUCUGGAAUGCUUGCAAGCUGUGCUCCCUAUGCAGUAGACGCCAAAGAUAAUGGAGUAAAAGACAGUCAAGAUCUCAUCCAACAUCUACUGAAUUCAACAAGAGCCCUUUUACUGACUGUGUGGAGAUGUGGAGAAGGGCUCCAAGAGCACCUUUCUGUCAAUAGAGACCUCACCAAAUCCAGAACAACGCAAAGGAAGUGGGUCAAAUCAGUCAAAGACAGCACAGACACUGGAAGGGAGACCUCAGUGCCAGACUUAGUACACUCAUAAUGUGCAAACAGGGCAAGACUUCUAAAGACACGAGGCUGAUGGUGUCCCAGUUC
rnacentral:lncRNA from 1 species